rnacentral:rRNA from 1 species
UACGUAGGGGGCAAGCGUUGUCCGGAAUUAUUGGGCGUAAAGAGCGCGUAGGCGGUCCGAUAAGUCGGCUGUGAAAGUCAGGGGCUCAACCCUUGAAAGCCGGCCGAUACUGUCGGACUAGAGUCCGGAAGAGGCAAGUGGAAUUCCUGGUGUAGCGGUGAAAUGCGCAGAUAUUAGGAAGAACACCGGUGGCGAAGGCGGCCCACUGGUCCGGUACUGACGCUGAGGUGCGAAAGCGUGGGGAGCAAACAGG